GAUGAACGCUGGCGGCGUGCCUAAUACAUGCAAGUCGAGCGAACGGACGAGAAGCUUGCUUCUCUGAUGUUAGCGGCGGACGGGUGAGUAACACGUGGAUAACCUACCUAUAAGACUGGGAUAACUUCGGGAAACCGGAGCUAAUACCGGAUAAUAUUUUGAACCGCAUGGUUCAAAAGUGAAAGACGGUCUUGCUGUCACUUAUAGAUGGAUCCGCGCUGCAUUAGCCAGUUGGUAAGGUAACGGCUUACCAAGGCAACGAUGCAUAGCCGACCUGAGAGGGUGAUCGGCCACACUGGAACUGAGACACGGUCCAGACUCCUACGGGAGGCAGCAGUAGGGAAUCUUCCGCAAUGGGCGAAAGCCUGACGGAGCAACGCCGCGUGAGUGAUGAAGGUCUUCGGAUCGUAAAACUCUGUUAUUAGGGAAGAACAUAUGUGUAAGUAACUGUGCACAUCUUGACGGUACCUAAUCAGAAAGCCACGGCUAACUACGUGCCAGCAGCCGCGGUAAUACGUAGGUGGGAAGCGUUAUCCGGAAUUAUUGGGCGUAAAGCGCGCGUAGGCGGUUUUUUAGUCUGAUGUGAAAGCCCACGGCUCAACCGUGGAGGGUCAUUGGAAACUGGAAAACUUGAGUGCAGAAGAGGAAAGUGGAAUUCCAUGUGUAGCGGUGAAAUGCGCAGAGAUAUGGAGGAACACCAGUGGCGAAGGCGACUUUCUGGUCUGUAACUGACGCUGAUGUGCGAAAGCGUGGGGAUCAAACAGGAUUAGAUACCCUGGUAGUCCACGCCGUAAACGAUGAGUGCUAAGUGUUAGGGGGUUUCCGCCCCUUAGUGCUGCAGCUAACGCAUUAAGCACUCCGCCUGGGGAGUACGACCGCAAGGUUGAAACUCAAAGGAAUUGACGGGGACCCGCACAAGCGGUGGAGCAUGUGGUUUAAUUCGGAGCAACGCGAAGAACCUUACCAAAUCUUGACAUCCUUUGACAACUCUAGAGAUAGAGCCUUCCCCUUCGGGGGACAAAGUGACAGGUGGUGCAUGGUUGUCGUCAGCUCGUGUCGUGAGAUGUUGGGUUAAGUCCCGCAACGAGCGCAACCCUUAAGCUUAGUUGCCAUCAUUAAGUUGGGCACUCUAAGUUGACUGCCGGUGACAAACCGGAGGAAGGUGGGGAUGACGUCAAAUCAUCAUGCCCCUUAUGAUUUGGGCUACACACGUGCUACAAUGGACAAUACAAAGGGCAGCGAAACCGCGAGGUCAAGCAAAUCCCAUAAAGUUGUUCUCAGUUCGGAUUGUAGUCUGCAACUCGACUACAUGAAGCUGGAAUCGCUAGUAAUCGUAGAUCAGCAUGCUACGGUGAAUACGUUCCCGGGUCU
rnacentral:rRNA from 1 species